rnacentral:rRNA from 1 species
AGAGUUUGAUCCUGGCUCAGAUUGAACGCUGGCGGCAUGCCUUACACAUGCAAGUCGAACGGCAGCACGGGAGCAAUCCUGGUGGCGAGUGGCGAACGGGUGAGUAAUGUAUCGGAACGUACCUUUCAGUGGGGGAUAACGUAGCGAAAGUUACGCUAAUACCGCAUAUUCUGUGAGCAGGAAAGCAGGGGAUCGCAAGACCUUGCGCUGAUUGAGCGGCCGAUAUCAGAUUAGCUAGUUGGUGAGGUAAAGGCUCACCAAGGCGACGAUCUGUAGCGGGUCUGAGAGGAUGAUCCGCCACACUGGAACUGAGACACGGUCCAGACUCCUACGGGAGGCAGCAGUGGGGAAUUUUGGACAAUGGGGGCAACCCUGAUCCAGCCAUGCCGCGUGAGUGAAGAAGGCCUUCGGGUUGUAAAGCUC